rnacentral:tRNA from 1 species
GGAGAUAUAGCAUAGUGGUUAUGCAAAAGACUUCUAUACCUGAGCCUCCACAGUCCUAGGUUCAAUCCCCAGCAUUACCA